rnacentral:rRNA from 1 species
CUGCUGCCUUCCGUAGGAGUCUGGACCGUGUCUCAGUUCCAGUGUGGCUGGUCAUCCUCUCAGACCAGCUAGGGAUCGUCGCCUAGGUGAGCCGUUACCCCACCUACUAGCUAAUCCCAUCUGGGCACAUCCGAUGGCAAGAGGCCCGAAGGUCCCCCUCUUGGUCUUGCGACGUUAUGCGGUAUUAGCUACCGUUUCCAGUAGUUAUCCCCCUCCAUCAGGCGGUUUCCCAGACAUUACUCACCCGUCCGCCA